UGGGGAAUCUUCCGCAAUGGACGAAAGUCUGACGGAGCAACGCCGCGUGAGUGAAGAAGGCCUUCGGGUCGUAAAGCUCAGUUGUCAGGGAAGAAAGGUACUUUUGUGAAUAAUGGGAGUAAAUGACGGUACCUGACGAGGAAGCCACGGCUAACUACGUGCCAGCAGCCGCGGUAAUACGUAGGUGGCAAGCGUUAUCCGGAAUUAUUGGGCGUAAAGGGUGCGUAGGCGGAAGAUCAAGUUCAAGGUGAAAGCGUGGGGCUCAACCCCAUACAGCCUUGGAAACUGGUCAUCUAGAGUGCAGAAGAGGGUAGUGGAAUUCCAUGUGUAGCGGUAAAAUGCGUAGAUAUAUGGAGGAACACCAGUGGCGAAGGCGGCUACCUGGUCUGUAACUGACGCUGAAGCACGAAAGCGUGGGGAGCAAAUA
rnacentral:rRNA from 1 species